rnacentral:rRNA from 1 species
AGAGUUUGAUCCUGGCUCAGGAUGAACGCUGGCGGCGUGCUUAACACAUGCAAGUCGAACGAUGAAGCCCAGCUUGCUGGGUGGAUUAGUGGCGAACGGGUGAGUAACACGUGAGUAACCUGCCCCCGACUCUGGGAUAAGCCCGGGAAACUGGGUCUAAUACCGGAUAUUACCUUUGACCGCAUGGUUGUUGGUGGAAAGAUUUAUCGGUGGGGGAUGGACUCGCGGCCUAUCAGCUUGUUGGUGAGGUAAUGGCUCACCAAGGCGACGACGGGUAGCCGGCCUGAGAGGGUGACCGGCCACACUGGGACUGAGACACGGCCCAGACUCCUACGGGAGGCAGCAGUGGGGAAUAUUGCACAAUGGGCGAAAGCCUGAUGCAGCGACGCCGCGUGAGGGAUGACGGCCUUCGGGUUGUAAACCUCUUUCAGUAGGGAAGAAGCGAAAGUGACGGUACCUGCAGAAGAAGCGCCGGCUAACUACGUGCCAGCAGCCGCGGUAAUACGUAGGGCGCAAGCGUUAUCCGGAUUUAUUGGGCGUAAAGAGCUCGUAGGCGGUUUGUCGCGUCUGCCGUGAAAGUCCGAGGCUCAACCUCGGAUCUGCGGUGGGUACGGGCAGACUAGAGUGAUGUAGGGGAGACUGGAAUUCCUGGUGUAGCGGUGAAAUGCGCAGAUAUCAGGAGGAACACCGAUGGCGAAGGCAGGUCUCUGGGCAUUUACUGACGCUGAGGAGCGAAAGCAUGGGGAGCGAACAGGAUUAGAUACCCUGGUAGUCCAUGCCGUAAACGUUGGGCACUAGGUGUGGGGGACAUUCCACGUUUUCCGCGCCGUAGCUAACGCAUUAAGUGCCCCGCCUGGGGAGUACGGCCGCAAGGCUAAAACUCAAAGGAAUUGACGGGGGCCCGCACAAGCGGCGGAGCAUGCGGAUUAAUUCGAUGCAACGCGAAGAACCUUACCAAGGCUUGACAUGUGCCAGACCGCCCCAGAGAUGGGGUUUCCCUUCGGGGCUGGUUCACAGGUGGUGCAUGGUUGUCGUCAGCUCGUGUCGUGAGAUGUUGGGUUAAGUCCCGCAACGAGCGCAACCCUCGUUCCAUGUUGCCAGCACGUAGUGGUGGGGACUCAUGGGAGACUGCCGGGGUCAACUCGGAGGAAGGUGGGGAUGACGUCAAAUCAUCAUGCCCCUUAUGUCUUGGGCUUCACGCAUGCUACAAUGGCCGGUACAAUGGGUUGCGAUACUGUGAGGUGGAGCUAAUCCCUAAAAGCCGGUCUCAGUUCGGAUUGGGGUCUGCAACUCGACCCCAUGAAGUCGGAGUCGCUAGUAAUCGCAGAUCAGCAACGCUGCGGUGAAUACGUUCCCGGGCCUUGUACACACCGCCCGUCAAGUCACGAAAGUUGGUAACACCCGAAGCCGAUGGCCUAACCACCUUGUGUGGGGGGAGUCGUCGAAGGUGGGACUGGCGAUUGGGACUAAGUCGUAACAAGGUAACC